UUUAAGAGGAAGUCCUGAGGAGUUUCGUCGAGGGCCGGGCAUUAAUUGGAAUAUGUUUGCAGGGUCAAGAGUAGCUCGGGAGGUCGGCUAGAGCCUGGUAUAAAUUUAUGUAAUAGAAUAGUAGUGGACAUGUACUAUAUAAUAGAUUAUAUUUGUGUUUUGCCCUAAUUUAUGUUUUUUUAAAUCCCUGUGAAUGUGAUUACUAUGUAAAAAGUUUUAUGUAUAUGUUAUGUUGAACCAAGUUGAGACAUGUAUGUUGACCA